rnacentral:rRNA from 1 species
ACCAGACUCCUACGGGAGGCAGCAGUGGGGGAUAUUGCACAAUGGGGGGAACCCUGAUGCAGCGACGCCGCGUGGGUGAAGAAGCGCCUCGGCGCGUAAAGCCCUGUCAGCAGGGAAGAAAAUGACGGUACCUGAAGAAGAAGCCCCGGCUAACUACGUGCCAGCAGCCGCGGUAAUACGUAGGGGGCAAGCGUUAUCCGGAUUUACUGGGUGUAAAGGGGGCGCAGACGGCGAUGCAAGCCAGGAGUGAAAGCCCGGGGCCCAACCCCGGGACUGCUCUUGGAACUGCGUGGCUGGAGUGCAGGAGGGGCAGGCGGAAUUCCUGGUGUAGCGGUGAAAUGCGUAGAUAUCAGGAGGAACACCAGUGGCGAAGGCGGCCUGCUGGACGAUGACUGACGCUGAGGCUCGAAAGCGUGGGGAGCAAACAGGAUUAGAUACCCCAGUAC